GACGAACGCUGGCGGCGUGCUUAACACAUGCAAGUCGAACGGAAAGGCCCUGCUUGUGUGGGGUGCUCGAGUGGCGAACGGGUGCGUAACAGGUGAGUAACCUGCCCUUGACUUUGGGAUAACUUCAGGAAACUGGGGCUAAUACCGGAUAGGAGCCCCCGCUGCAUGGAGGGGGUUGGAAAGUUUCGGCGGGUGGGGAUGGACUGGCGGCUUAUCAGCUUGUUGGUGGGGUAGUGGCUUACCAAGGCUUUGACGGGUAGCCGGCCUGAGAGGGUGACCGGGCACAUUGGGACUGAGGUACGGCCCAGACUCCUACGGGAGACAGCAGUGGGGAAUAUUGCACAAUGGGCGGAAGCCUGAUGCAGCAACGCCGCGUGCGGGAUGACGGCCUGCGGGUUGUAAACCGCUUUCGCCUGUGACGAAGCGUGAGUGACGGUAAUGGGUAAAGAAGCACCGGCUAACUACGUG
rnacentral:rRNA from 1 species